CUGCACUCCAGCCUGAAAAACAGAACAAGACCCUGUCUCAGAUAUAUAUAUAUAUAUAUCUUCUUGUGACUUCUGGUGAGGAGAUUGAGAGGCACCAAAGUUAUUCUUGCGGUUUUUCUUAAAUUAAUACAAAUUUAGAUAGUUACCAUUGCAGAUUGUAGUGAGCCAAGAUUGUGCCACUGCACUCCAGCCGAGGUGACAGAGCGAGACUCCGUCUCAAAAAAUAAAAUAAAUAGUUGCUAUCGCUGAGGUAAACACUGACCUGUGGGAAAGAGAGACCCUUCAACAAUGUAAUGGCUGAUGGGGAAAAAGUAAAAUUGGGAUUAAACAGUUGUUGCAAAUAAUAAUAUCCACACAGGAAACGUAAAUAUUAAUAAUUAAGAAGUUAACCGCUCCAUGAUGUUUGAAUGGGGCUUUUAAGAUUUCUAUUUCAUGUCACGAAGUGGGAGAAGGCCUAAGGGUAACAUUUACUUUCUCAAGAAAAGAUCGAGUUAAAAGGGGCUGGGUAUGUAGCAAAGAGACAGCAAAAAGAGCCUUCAGCAGUAAUUAAGGGGACUGCUCCACCAGCCACGAGCCCAUCUGUGCAUAUGUCUGCACACAUCCACAUGCGUGCUUGCAUUCCUCCCUGUACGCUCGUGGAUGCUAGAGCUGACCUUUUCUACAGCAGUCUUGGCUACCUUCACAUCCUACUCAGGUGAGUGUUAAAAGCGGAUCCUUUGCAUUGUCCGAAACUUGGAUUUUCAUCCAUUUGCCCAUGAUUUUUUAUGAAAGAAAUAAACAGAAUUGUAGCCUG